UGAGUAAUGUCUGGGAAACUGCCUGAUGGAGGGGGGAGUAACUACUGGAAACGGUAGCUAAUACCGCAUAACGUCGCAAGACCAAAGAGGGGGACCUUCGGGCCUCUUGCCAUCGGAUGUGCCCAGAUGGGAUUAGCUAGUAGGUGGGGUAAAGGCUCACCUAGGCGACGAUCCCUAGCUGGUCUGAGAGGAUGACCAGCCACACUGGAACUGAGACACGGCCCAGACUCCUACGGGAGGCAGCAUG
rnacentral:rRNA from 1 species